AAUGAGAAUAUCUAAUCGGAUUUACUGAGUAGCAAGGACAUGUGAAGCAUUGGGGUAGGCAUUUCAGGUAAAUAACCUCUCUCCAAUCCUCACAGCAACACCAGGAGGAGGCAAGGACUGGAAACCUGUUUUCCAGGCCAGGAGACAGAAGUUCUUCCAGGGGCACACCUUGUCCAGUGACCUGUUACUUGUAAAAUACAAAGCAGUGAUGAAAGAGUUCAUGUCUUGGAAACCCCCAGGGAAGCUGAAUUCUCCCACAGAGUUUUAAUUGUCCAAUCCAUGAUGAUCUAUUCUUCUUCUUUGAGCACUAAGACCUUGUGAUAGAAAAGAACCUUUGACACUUUGUGGGAUAAAGGACACCAUUGGUUGUGGUCUUUUCUGUGAAAACCAGCUCCCUAGGAGCUCUCUCAGUAUUGAAAAGUCCCAGCCCCAACUCCGCCUUACCCUUUUGACCCUGUCCCAAAGGAACUGGACCAACUAAGUGAUUCCAUCCCCACAGUAGCCUCCACCCAUCUUCAUCCAAGCUUGAAUAUAGUUUCCCAUGCAAACCUUAUUAUGGAUGCCACUGAAUUCCAUCUACCUUGUCUCAGUGUCU